GACUCUGUCUCAAAAAAAGAAAAAUGUAGAUUUAAUGUGUACAUUAAUGUGUACAGUAUGCUCUUUUGAUAUAACUAUCCAUAGUGAAAUAAUUACAGAAAAGCAAAUUAACAUAUUCUUCCCCUUACAUAGUUGCUACUUUUUGUAACGAUGUGUGUAUGGCAAAAGCACCUGAAAUUUACUUUCUUUAGUUAUGCAGGAUGAAUUAGUCUAGCGAUCUAAUGGAUUGACUCUUUUACUGUGUGAGAGCAUAGUCAUGUGGUUCUUAUUGUUUAACUAAAAUAAUUUUUUGUUGUUAAAUCAAAGAGGAAUAUUCAGGAAAGGUCAGGUCUGGUGGCUCAAGCUCUUCCUCACAUGAUAGAGAACUGCUUUGAGGAGACUGUGGGAAUCACAUGUCUGUUGCUAACUUGAGUUCAGUCUUCUCUGUACUUAUGUAUUCUCUUGACCUCAGGCUGUGCUGUCAAUUUUUUCUCUUCUGAGGGUUUUUUUGAAAUGAACAUAAAAGGAAAUCCUUUAAGACUAUUCAGAUCCUUGCUAUGCAAAAAUUGCGUUGUUGAAGGAGGUCUUAGACAUGAUCUAACGCAAUUCCCAAACUUUAUGUGGAAUUCUGAUUUCUGAGAUGGCCAGGACACUUUAUUUUUAUUUUAUUUUCAAGACAGGGUCUCGCUGUGUUGCCCAGGCUGGAAUGUGUGGAGUGAUCACAGCUCACUGAAGCCUGGACGUCCCGGGCUCAAGCGAUCCUUCCACUUCAGCUUCCCGAGAAGCUGGGACAACAGGCAUGUGCCAGCAUGCCUGGCUAAUUUUUUGUAGAAAUAGUGUUUUGUCAUGUUACCCAGUCUGGUCUCAAACUCCUGGGCACAAGCAAUCUCCCUGCCUCAGCCUCCCAAAGUUCUGGGAUUACAAGCAUGAGCCAUUGUGCCUGAUCAACCAGAACAGCUUAAUGGGAAUUUCGUAUUUCUCAUGCUUGAGUCAUAUCCCCUUACCCAGAAACUGGGAAAACAUCCUCACUGAAAACCCAAAUAGGUGGUACUGCUUUCCCAAUUUUUACGUCAACAAAACAAGGUAAUUUCAUUCAAAGGAAUUAGAGUUAAUAUUAUGUAUUUUUCAGCAAAUUGAUUCUGUGAUGCCAUUUGAUGACCUACAAAAAAAUGUGUCCCAGUGUUUCUUCAGUGUUCUAUAUUAGGGCCCUUUUACACACAAACUCUGCGGUAUUCCUUUCCACCAGCUCUGCCCAGCACUAGCCUGGUUACUUCAUUUCCAUUUGUCAAAUCACUAUUCGGGGGUAGUUGGUCAUGUCAGUGUGUUUAAGCCAUGUCACAUUAUUUUGUUAGUCAGGUCCUAUGUGUCCCAAGAGUCCUUGAAGAAACUCGCUGGUCUCUUUAGAUCCUAGCAAGGAAAGACUAGAAAUGCCUCCUUCUAAUUUGGUGAUUGUAUUUCUUAUAGAACAGACUGCUUUGGCAAUAAGGUGCCAAAUACUGCUACUCAGAGCUUAUCUGAUUUGCAUGCAGCUAAACUACCUCUGUGUACUCAGCUGCAUGUCCCUAUAGAAAAACCACCUUACUACCUUUAGAACUUCACUGUCCAUUGUCCUAUUCUGGAAUAGACAGUAGCUCUGACUAUAAGUUAAAAUGGGCUACAUUAAACACUGGCGGGCUCUUGCAUUUCUCUCAUUUGGUCCUUCACUGACAAAUUCACAUAGUGCAAAGGUCAUGGGCAAGCUAUAACUGUUCUCUGGAGCGCCAAGCUGGCUGCCCCUAGGGAACUUAUGUUCCACUCUCCUAACUGGUCUGAUUAAAGCACAGACCACUUGAGAGACAAGGAGGUUGGAAGAGUAUCGAUGCUCAGGUCUCCAAUCACCCACAUAUUUGUAUGAGAGCCUUGGACUCCUGGACCCAAAGCCACUGUAAUUACUUUAUAACUUAAAAAUCAUGGUUUUCAGUUUUAAAAAUUCACGUAGAAAUGGAAGUCACUGUGCUGGAAACGCGUCUUUCCUUUCUGAGUUCUGUAAUGUUAUGUUAUCUUCAUAUGUUUACAACAGAAGGAAAUGGUCCUCCUGGCUGCCAGUGAGUGAGGUAGCAGAGUAGAGCUGCUUUCUAAAAUCAGAGCUAAUAUUCAGCACCAGCUUCUAUGGUCUUGUGUUUUGAUGUGCUGACUAUUGGGCCUACAGAAAUACACCUUCUGUUUAUACUUCCAAGUGUUCCUUUUAUCUCUAGAUAAAAGUGUACAGGGGAAGUUGCCAAAAUUAGUCCACCUUUUGGGCCCAGGCCAUAGUUAAACUUAGAUCAGUUUACAGAUCAAAGAGUUCCAUUCUGAUCCAAAUAGCUGCAGGCCAGCAGCAUGGCUGGUGGCAGUAUGAAGUGGCUGAACACCUUCUGAUUUGGAAUAUCUGAGCAAUACUUUCUGGGCUGCAAGGCACAAAAAGAGGCAGGAUGCAUGUCUGCUCUUGAAACGACUGUCUACCUUCCAGGAUUUGACAGAGGAGCACUUGUUUAGACUUUGGUGUAUAAUCCAGUGGGAAGCUCCCAGAUAGUCCUAAAGGCUGCUGCAGGGGGUCUCUAUGAAGGCAGGUACUCUCCUCUCCUCAAUACACACAGAGUUAAUUUUGUUCACAGUCCUUCCAUGCUUCCUUUAGGUAAAGCCAGACUGUCGAGGUUUCUUCUUUGCCAGGUAGUAGCAACUCCCCACCCAACUCUCUUUUUCAUUUUGCAUUUCGGUUCUGAUUUUUAGAGUCUUAGACUGCUGUCCCUGGGGAGAGUAGGAGCGGACAGAAGAUUUUUGGGCUCUGUGAAUCAAUAGGGUCACCAAAUUAUUUACUAUCCAAACCAGCACACUUUUGUCAGUGAAAGAGGCACUGUUGGUAAUUAAAUCUGGACUAGAGUCAACUGAGACUCUCCUGGCAAACUGCGAUGUAUGGCCAUCCUCUGCGUAGAGAAUUGGGUGACUUCUGGCUCUAGAGACGCAAAUCGAAUGCUUCUUUUCCUGUGCAUGAUUGGGCAUUUUUAGUCACUCCUCUAAAUUAUUAUAGACUAUCAUUUUCUGCUCUUGAUAGCAAAUAUAGCAAUAAGAAAAAAAAUUGGAUAAUAAAUUUUCUUAUGACUCAAAACACAGCCCCCUUGUUAAAUAAUAUUGCUUCAGAAUAGAUUUUCUUGCAAAGAAAAUGUUCUGUACAAAUUCUUUAAAGAAGUCUUUCAAGUGGAUUUUUUAAAAAUGAUGCCACCACCCACUACUUACAAAGAAAGUCUUGAAAGGGAGCGGCAAGGCCUCAGGCCAUUUCUAGCAAAGAGAUGUACAAUCAGUACCAGCAACACAAAAAUGCUCCUGUAACUGCACCCAAACUAUUUUUUGUGCCUAACAAAUUUUUGUCUUCAAGCUGCAGUUGUAUGGCUGUGUUUCCUUUCUGUUUGUUUUACCACUUCCCUUCGAAAUAUUUUGCAUCAUCCUGGAGAUUUUCCCAAGUUGUGGUCUGCUCGCUGGGGGUCCGAGCUCCUCUGAUUUGCUGCUUGAGGCUGUGUUGCCAUGGCAGGGGUUGUUUACCAUAGAUGAACACUUGACAGGAUGGGCACCUCCCACAGCCAUUCCAACCUCCUUUCCUCCUCUUCUCCACUCGCUUAGAUAUUCUGAGACAGCAGCCCAGAUAUGGCUUUCUCUAAUCGUAAACUACAUUCCCGGAGCGUGAACUUGACUUUGCUAUGCUUUCGAGAUAGGGAAAUGUUUGGCUCUGUUUAUUCCUCUUAAACUGGGCAGUGUCCUCUUGACUUUUAUGACUAAUCCACUUGUCAUGGCUGGAAUCUCCUAACAAUUCUUUCCCUCAGGUAAAUCACAUCACUCAGGCUUGUGAAGCAAAAAUGCCACUGAGGCCAAAGGGUGACCUUUUGGUGGUCGCAGCCCAUUCACCUGACAGGUCUCUGUUGCCCGGGAGGAUUUUUUUUUUCUCCAAUUAAAGGAAAGCUUAGUCAGAACCUGACAAGUCUUGCUCCCUCACAUUCCUGCAGAGGAACCAGCCUGGGGAGAGAUAAGAGCCGUGGGUUGACACCCUGAUUAUGCUUACCUUUUUAUUUGUUAAAUGUGGAAAUUGACUUCAUCCAAUUAAUAAGAGCAGGAAACAGUUUUUGUUUUGUCUUUGUAGGAAAACAUGAAGUAACGGUUUUAUCUCAAUUUGUCAGGCAUUGCCCAAGAGACUACAGUCAUGUGGGCCGGUGGCCAAAAAAUUGCUCUAAGGCCCAAGUAUUAACACCCAGAUAUAAAAAGAAUGCUAAUUGGUUUUCCAGCUGAAAAAUAAUAAGGGAUUUGCUGCCAAAAAUGCUGUAUGGCCUGGAAACCCCAAGUUUAUACAAUAGGGCCUGAUUGCAAUCUGGGGGCUCCAUUUGUCCUCCUAUGAAGAGCUAAACAAAGGGAGGUGUUUCGCUCCUCUGCCUUUGUAGAAAGCUCCGCUCCAGAUCUCAGCCUGGUGGAACACCAGGCUUCCCACAGUCUUCCUGCCAAAUCCCCAAGUUUUUUCCUGGCUGCCAUUCAGGAAAGUACAGCUUCGUCUGUAGGAUGGAAAGUUAAAAAGGCCUUGCUUGGAUACGCUGAAAUAUAUACAAACACUGCCUGACGUAUGGAGUAGGCUGCUGCCGCUGGCAUCCUAGCAGAAAGAAUGUGAAACUUUUAAAAGUCAUUUUGGAAUUACUUUGAAAAAUGAAGUAAGACGUAUUCUCAACAACCAACUUCUGCCAAAAUAUGCAAAGAAUAAAACAGGCCAUAAGAAUCCAUUGAUGUGUACAAAAUUAUUUUUUGACAGAAACAG